rnacentral:misc_RNA from 1 species
UCUCUCUCUCUCUCUCUAUGUAUAGGGGGAAUAAUCAGGGAUUGUAUUCCAAAAAUGGCAUAUGGUAGGUUGUGCAAGAACAUGCGUUAAACUCAUUAGUUCAGUGAUUGUUUGCAGUAUUCUCGUAUUUUGAAGAUAAUAUUAUUUUGGGUUUGAAAUGAUGACUUGCUCAUGAUAUGAUAUGAGCAAAAGUGCUUAUUUGAGAUAUUCAAUUUAGGUAUUAUAUCAAUAUUCAUUUAGUUGUUCCAAAACAAAAAUACUAAGGGGAAGAGUAGUUGAAUGAAUAAUAUGUAAGAGACGGCAAUUCUACAGAAUCUGUCAGCUGCAAGCUCAUGAAAUUAAGCAUGCUAACAUUCUUUCUUGCUUAGAAAGAUCUAAAGUCCAUUUUAAAAUCAGAAAAAUAUUGUUAGCAUUUAUUCUGCAAUUUCAUUGUACCUUUACAUGGUUUUUGGCCAUAUGACAUUGCAAAAUGAUUCAGUUAUCAAGCCCAGCUACAGCAGAACUUGAUGUACCUAGCUAGAAUAGCUGAUGCCCAACCACAAGGGACACCAAUGCCUUCACAGGUGAAAAUGCUGACAAAUGUACCCCAAAAACUCUUUUUUCUUUCUUUUUGAUGUUGGAACAUUUGCUUCUGUUGAAAAUUGCAGACAUCCCCUCAGUCCACAGUGCAACAAGAGCAUUACAUUCAACCAUCUCAAGUUGCAAUGUCUCAGCAACCAAUAUAUUUCACUCCAAAACUACCUUUCCAGAUUAAUGAUCAGCAGCAGCUGCCACUGCACCUCCAGCAGCAGCACCUCACCCAGCGGCAAAUGAGAGAGACCCAGCAUGAAUAACGGAUGUACUGACGGGUGAAAACAGAUGAUACCAACUCAUGUAGCCAUUUAGGCCAUUGUCCUUGAAUGUUUAUAGUUUUGUAGGACUUAAAGUACUGAUACAUCUUUGUAGGCUAGUUGUUUUCUGUUCAUGUGAAAAGGCAGCUUAUUUUUACCCCUAAUGUCCAAGCAUGAUCUCACUGGAGACAUGCUUAGCUGCUAUAUUGUAAGCAACAAACCUAAAUAUCGUUGCCGUCCAUAAUCCUACUUUUCUGGACAAGGCAUUAGUUUUCUAUGUGC